rnacentral:rRNA from 1 species
CCAUAAACCGUGGCUCAGUUCAGAUCGUAGGCUGCAACUCGCCUACGUGAAGUAGGAAUCGCUAGUAAUCGCAGGUCAGCAUACUGCGGUGAAUACGUUCCCGGGCCUUGUACACACCGCCCGUCACACCAUGGAAGUUGGCCAUGCCCGAAGUCGUUACUCCAACCCUUGUGGAGGAGGACGCCGAAGGUGGGGCUAAUGACUGGGGUGAAGUCGUAACAAGGUAGCCGUACCGGAAGGUGCGGCUGGAUCACCUCCUAA